GAUGAACGCUGGCGGCGUGCCUAAUACAUGCAAGUCGAGCGAACGGACGAGAAGCUUGCUUCUCUGAUGUUAGCGGCGGACGGGUGAGUAACACGUGGAUAACCUACCUAUAAGACUGGGAUAACUUCGGGAAACCGUAGCUAAUACCGGAUAAUAUUUUGAACCGCAUGGUUCAAAAGUGAAAGACGGUCUUGCUGUCACUUAUAGAUGGAUCCGCGCUGCAUUAGCUAGUUGGUAAGGUAACGGCUUACCAAGGCAACGAUGCAUAGCCGACCUGAGAGGCUGAUAGGCCACACUGGAGCUGAACCACGGUCAAGACUACUACGGGAGGCAGCAGUAGGGAAUCUUCCGCAAUGGGCGAAAGUAUGACGGAGCAACGCCGCGUGAGUGAUGAAGGUCUUCGGAUCGUAAAAAUCUGUUAUUAGGGAAGAACAUAUGUGUCAGUAAAUGUGCACAUCUUGACGGUAACUAAUCAGAAAGCAACGGCUAACUACGUG
rnacentral:rRNA from 1 species